CAAGUAAUUGUAAUGCAGUGAGAAAUUGAAUUGAGAUUAUUUACACGUUUCAUCUUACAAAUGCAUAUAAGAAAAAAAUUUUAAGAUCACAAAUUUUUAACAUCCACACAUACUCAAUACACGCAGAAACAAAGUCAAUGCAUUUUAAGAUCAAACUUUUCAAGAAGGCUCUGCAUCUGAGCAACAAUAGCUAAGCUAUUACUCAAGAACUCCGUAGAAUUCUUCAUCUUAGCCUUUACCUCAUCAAGAACCGUUGAUCCCAUCUCCUCCAAGCCAUCCACGCAAGUCUGCUGAUCGGUCAUGGCACCGCUGAUCCACGUCUGGAUAUCGUUGAUCUUCUCCAACGUCAACGCUUUUUCUCCAGGGCCAACCUCCAUUGCCGACAGCGAAUCAUUAAGUCUACCCAGCGCCUCAUCAAAGAUACUCACACAGUCGUUUAUAGCAGCCUUAGAGUUGGCGUCGUUGAGAGUUCUGAAUAGGGAAGAAACGUUUUUGAGCUCUUUAACUGAGA
rnacentral:misc_RNA from 1 species